AGAGUUUGAUCCUGGCUCAGGAUGAACGCUGGCGGCGUGCUUAACACAUGCAAGUCGAACGAAGCACUUAUCUUUGAUUCUUCGGAUGAAGAGGUUUGUGACUGAGUGGCGGACGGGUGAGUAACGCGUGGGUAACCUGCCUCAUACAGGGGGAUAACAGUUAGAAAUGACUGCUAAUACCGCAUAAGACCACGGAGCCGCAUGGCUCAGUGGGAAAAACUCCGGUGGUAUGAGAUGGACCCGCGUCUGAUUAGGUAGUUGGUGGGGUAACGGCCUACCAAGCCAACGAUCAGUAGCCGACCUGAGAGGGUGACCGGCCACAUUGGGACUGAGACACGGCCCAAACUCCUACGGGAGGCAGCAGUGGGGAAUAUUGCACAAUGGGGGAAACCCUGAUGCAGCGACGCCGCGUGAGCGAAGAAGUAUUUCGGUAUGUAAAGCUCUAUCAGCAGGGAAGAAAAUGACGGUACCUGACUAAGAAGCACCGGCUAAAUACGUGCCAGCAGCCGCGGUAAUACGUAUGGUGCAAGCGUUAUCCGGAUUUACUGGGUGUAAAGGGAGCGUAGACGGCUGUGUAAGUCUGAAGUGAAAGCCCGGGGCUCAACCCCGGGACUGCUUUGGAAACUAUGCAGCUAGAGUGUCGGAGAGGUAAGUGGAAUUCCCAGUGUAGCGGUGAAAUGCGUAGAUAUUGGGAGGAACACCAGUGGCGAAGGCGGCUUACUGGACGAUGACUGACGUUGAGGCUCGAAAGCGUGGGGAGCAAACAGGAUUAGAUACCCUGGUAGUCCACACCGUAAACGAUGAUUACUAGGUGUUGGAGGAUUGACCCCUUCAGUGCCGCAGUUAACACAAUAAGUAAUCCACCUGGGGAGUACGACCGCAAGGUUGAAACUCAAAGGAAUUGACGGGGGCCCGCACAAGCAGUGGAGUAUGUGGUUUAAUUCGACGCAACGCGAAGAACCUUACCAAGUCUUGACAUCCUGCGACGGUUCUGGAAACAGAACUUUCCUUCGGGACGCAGAGACAGGUGGUGCAUGGUUGUCGUCAGCUCGUGUCGUGAGAUGUUGGGUUAAGUCCCGCAACGAGCGCAACCCUUAUGGUCAGUUACUACGCAAGAGGACUCUGGCCAGACUGCCGUUGACAAAACGGAGGAAGGUGGGGAUGACGUCAAAUCAUUAUGCCCUUUAUGACUUGGGCUACACACGUACUACAAUGGCGUUAAACAAAGAGAAGCAAGACCGCGAGGUGGAGCAAAACUCAGAAACAGCGUCCCAGUUCGGACUGCAGGCUGCAACUCGCCUGCACGAAGUCGGAAUUGCUAGUAAUCGUGGAUCAGCAUGCCACGGUGAAUACGUUCCCGGGCCUUGCACACACCGCCCGUCA
rnacentral:rRNA from 1 species